GACGAACGCUGGCGGCGUGCUUAACACAUGCAAGUCGAACGGAAAGGCCCCUUUGGGGGUACUCGAGUGGCGAACGGGUGAGUAACACGUGAGUAACCUGCCCUUGACUCCGGGAUAACUUCAGGAAACUGGGGCUAAUACCGGAUAGGAAUCCUUGCUGCAUGGUGAGGGUUGGAAAGCUUCGGCGGUUUUGGAUGGACUCGCGGCUUAUCAGCUUGUUGGUGGGGUAGUGGCUUACCAAGGCUUUGACGGGUAGCCGGCCUGAGAGGGCGACCGGCCACAUUGGGACUGAGAUACGGCCCAGACUCCUACGGGAGGCAGCUGUGGGGAAUAUUGCACAAUGGGCGGAGGCCUGAUGCAGCAACGCCGCGUGCGGGAUGACGGCCUUCGGGUUGUAAACCGCUUUCAGCAGGGGCGAAGCUUGUGGUGACGGUACCUGCAGAAGAAGCACCGGCUAACUACGUG
rnacentral:rRNA from 1 species